GAUAACACGGUAAACACUCAGAGCGUGCUGAGAUAUUUGGAGGAUCAAGUAAAAGACGAGAACGUGCUGCAGGAAGGUUACAAAGUCACGGAGCAAUGCAUACAUUUUAAUGAGACGAGGCUUUGUGAAUUUACGUAUUUGGUUUUGAAGUGCAUUAUGACGAACGCGUACCAGCUUGUGCAGCGUUUGAUGGCCAACGCCAUCAGUGACCCUGUCAAGAUCCCACCGCCGAUUUUGUGUCUUCCGAACUACCAGUUUUGCAAUGAGACCUUCAACUGCGUUCUAAAUAAUUCACUAACGAGCCAGCUAACUGCUUCAGGGAAAAUGGAUAUCGGAGACCUGGUCACUUUGCCAAGCAACAAAGCGUAUUUCAUCGGCAAGAGGCUUCCUCUCAACUUUGUU